rnacentral:lncRNA from 1 species
CCGACAUAUAUCAGCAUGGAGACCUCGACUUGAUGUGAGUAGCGGAUCUUCUCCGGCUUGAGGGAGGUGGCUGGCGGAGUGAAAUGGUUUCCUAGCUCUUUGGACCAACCUUAGUAGAUAGUGCUAGCCACUGCUGUCCUCAACUUUAGCAGUUCGAACAUCAGAGUUUGGCAUUCUACUAAUACACUAAGGACAGUAACAAGAGCCCUCUAUGAGGUAUUUAGGGGGUAGUCCGAU